rnacentral:rRNA from 1 species
GAGUUUUGAUCAUGGCUCAGGAUGAACGCUAGCUACAGGCUUAACACAUGCAAGUCGAGGGGAAACGACAUCGAAAGCUUGCUUUUGAUGGGCGUCGACCGGCGCACGGGUGAGUAACGCGUAUCCAACCUGCCCACCACUUGGGGAUAACCUUGCGAAAGUAAGACUAAUACCCAAUGACGUCUCUAGAAGACAUCUGAACGAGAUUAAAGAUUUAUCGGUGAUGGAUGGGGAUGCGUCUGAUUAGCUUGUUGGCGGGGUAACGGCCCACCAAGGCGACGAUCAGUAGGGGUUCUGAGAGGAAGGCCCCCCACAUUGGAACUGAGACACGGUCCAAACUCCUACGGGAGGCAGCA